rnacentral:rRNA from 1 species
GACGAACGCUAGCUACAGGCUUAACACAUGCAAGUCGAGGGACCGGCGCACGGGAGAGUAACACGUAUCCAACAUGCCCUUUACUCGGGGAUAGCCUUUCGAAAGAAAGAUUAAUACCCGAUGUAAAUGAUGGGGAUGCGGUCCAUUAGGUUGUUGGGUAGGUAACGGCUCACCAAGCCUUCGAUGGAUAGGGGUUCGGAGAGGAAGGUCCCCCACAUUGGAAAUGAGACACGGUCCAAACUCCGAGUGGAGGCAGCAGUGAGGAAUAUUGGUCAAUGAGCGUUAGCCUGAAACAGCCAAGUAGCGUGAAGGAUGAAGGCUUAUGGGUCGUAAACUUCUUUUAUAUAAGAAUAGGUAUUAUAUGAAUAAGGAUCGGCUAACUCCGUGCCAGCAGCCGCGGUAAUAC